CCUUUCAUGUGUAAUCUACGAACUAGCAAUUGGGAGCUAGCAAUUUCAACCUGAUGUUAUUGAAGAAUCUGUGCCGGGUAUUGAAAUCAAAAGUAACUGCAACCAACGCGUACUGAUGCAUUCCUCAAAGAAAAAUGUACUCAUGCAAUGAACCCAGCUAAGUGUAUGUAACACAGUUAGAUGUUUUCUUUCAUACUGGUAAUACUUUUUUUUGCAGAGAUACUGUUGAUACCUUGAAUUUUUUUAUCUACAACUAGCAUUUGGAAUAUAUCACUUUCAUAUUCCUGCUGGUACGGAAGAAUCAAAAUAGCCGAGGUAUUGAAUCAAAAGUAACUUCAAAGACAACUUGUGCAAUAACCAUGUUGUGAACCACAUUGACACCUAGCUCUUUUUAACAAAUAGUUAGAACUUACAUUUGAACUAGUAAGCCCAUGAGUAGAACUCGGAUUAUCCCAAGUGCUAAGAUGUCCAUAUUCGUCGGUGAUAGCAGACUGUCCCGGGUAACGUGGGAAGAUCUCUUGGAAACAACCACGGUCUUUAGCAUCCUCCAUCAGUUUUUUCCAUAUCAUGUUUUCUGCAAGUUCGGUCGCAUCACCAACAAUCCAAAGGUAGUGCCUAGAUAAGAGACAUUUAUUGUUAUAUUUACUGAAAUGAACUGUUGAUGAAAUAUAUUUAACUAAAAUGGAUGUUACAUACCUUGCUCUUGUAAUCAUAUAAUUAAUGUACUUGCCAUUGUUUGGCACUUCAUGGGCUGCAAUGAUUAAGAUGUCAUAAUUCUUGUUUUGGAAUGUAUCAGCUGAUUGAACGGUCAGAUUAAAUUGACUAUGAUGUCCCAGUACUUUAAGCUCUGGCGUAGAACAUAUCACUCCGACUUCCGGCUCCAACUCUCGACCCCCUUUUAUCCAAUCUGCAACAAAGUGGUGAAUGAGCUAGAUCAAAUUUGCCAUAGAGGUCAACAACAUAAAUUAGGGUCAAUUUUAUAUUCCAUAAAAAAUACCUUCAUUAAUGUAAGUGAUCAAAAGUAAUAAGGCAUCAAGAGUUUUCUCAGUGUUCACGUUGAAAAAUAUGUAGCUCUGCAAUCUCAGCUUUAGGAUCGUAUUGGUGUAGGCCAUGGCAUUUGAAAUUUGCCCUCCAUAGAAAUAUCUGUUAGGAAAAGAAGAAAUAGAUGGAUGCAUUCUUUCUUGUGUUCUGAGCAAAUAUCUGCUGGAUCCCAAUAAAAUGAAUCUCGAGAAAAGACUUCUCCCAAAACCAGAUUCUCCAUUCAUCUAGCAAGACAAAAGGGCAUACAGAAGUCACUACAUGUAAUAGCAAUGUGAAAUACAAACAUGGUUCAAGAGUUUGCUUGUAAAAUGACAUGUGAUACCUCGCUCUUAGUUGGUGAGCAUAGUUGUGCAUCAUCUCCUAUCAGUGAUAUGUGUCGAAUUGACGGAAGUGAAAAUGCAGCAACUACCUCACAUUCUUUUAUUUGGGCUGCCCCUAUUACAAUUAGCAUUCUGAUUUUGUCAUUAGACACAUAAUGCAAGCCAUGUGCAUCGGAAGGUGUGGAUAAGAGAAUUUUGGAUUCCUCAAUCAGAUAUCUUCUCAUCCACUCAACAUUCUUCGUAUGGGGGAAAUUAAGAACUCUUUUGACAUAUUCCAACUGCUCAACACAUUUGUCUUUAGAGCGACGGAUUUCCUUCACAUUUGCAGACAUUGGCUGGCGAUGCUUGUUUCUAGAUUUAACUGUGGAAAAUUUAACUCGAGAAGAUGUGAUGGAAGCACAUUCAAAUGCGAUCUUCACAUCAUUUUCAGUGACAGCCUCUAUUGAUAAAAGGUUGUUGAACGUUGCUAGAGCAUCAAAAAGAGCUGCUAGCCCUUUUGCUACUCGUUGAGAAGAAACGUCACUUGGUGAGUGCAACCAUAUUGUGUCCAGCAACUUGAUCAGUACAUCUGAUUUGUACUUGAAUACUUUUUUCAAUAAUGCCAAAGCCGAUAGGUUCUUCUUAUCUGCUUCUGCUGUCACUUUUGUGUACAUCUCUCUGAAUUCCUUCUCUAAGAGGGAGAUCAAGCCGUCAAUUUUACUCUUCCACACCAUGCAUGGCAUAAUCUCCUGGAGCCUCCACUCUAGACAGAAUUGUUUGGCAUUGUCAUUCUUUACUUCUAACAAAUCACAUAAUAAAACUACAUCCCCAAACUUUGGGUCAGCUCCAUCAUAUCUUCCUGAUUUCCUUAUAAGGUCAUCCAGGCAACAGCAUAAUGAUGAGAAAUCUGAGUAAGUGGAAGCACAAACCAGGGUUUUUGUUUGUAAACCUUGCAAAGCUGCCAUGACUGUUGCUAUGGUCUUACUCUUUCCUGUUCCUGGCAGGCCCCAGAUGAUAUUUAUGCUCUCUCGAUGAUCGCAUUCUGCAUUAGAAGCAAUGCUCAGUGCAAGAUUGGCCUGUCCUUCAUUGAGAUAGCGAUCAAACCGGAAAUCAAGUGACUUUGAUUCCUUAUCGGCAUCGCAGCUACCACAAGUGCUUUUUCCCUGUUAUGAAAAAGGCAAGCAGAUGCAUUAGCUAUGUCAUGGAUAAAAACUACAGUGAAUAUACAGAAGAUUAGUCUUUUAAGAACAUACACUGAGGGACAGAGGCAAUGUCGAUAUUUGUUUAAUGAUGGUGUUUUCACCAAUGCCCAAAUGUAAUGUCCUCCACAUGCACAGGCUAUCCUUGAGAUUGCAAAGGAAUAUUGCAAAUUUGCACUUGCCAGAGUUUACAUUAGCACAGACUUUAGCUUCGAAACUUUUGAUGAAGUAUCCAUCAGGUGUGGCAUUAGCUGCUAUAACAAACACUCCACAAUCAUCAUUUAGCUGCAAGUCUUUUGGUUCUUGAUCAGCAUUGCGAGUAAUGUGAUGUGAUGACCACCUUGUUCAAAACAUGUGUUGAUGUCCAGGUAUGCAUAAGAGGUAUUCACAUGCAUUUCUUUUGAAGAAGAAUCACCCACAUGCACUGGUAAGAUGCCAAGAAGCUUGUAAUACUCGGAUGUGCUGAUGGAUUUCAGACUAGACUUUAUUUCUGAUCGUACUUCUUCUAUCAAGGGCUUCUUGAAGCUUGUCAAAUAUUGUUCACUUGAAUGGAAUGUUGUAGGGAUCUUCUCAACCUGCAUGUCAAGUAACAGUAAUAUUGUAAAUCUGCUGGUGUUGUUUCUGUCUGUAAGCUGAAAAAAAGUGCUUCUUUUGGCUACUUUGUUUUUGGGCCCAAUUUAUGAUUUCUUUGAUUGAGUUGUAGCAAUAUUUUGAAUGAAUGAUAAGAAA
rnacentral:lncRNA from 1 species